rnacentral:rRNA from 1 species
UUUCAAAAACAUUUCUUUUUGAUUAUUUAUUAAAAGUAUAUUCUGCUCAAUGAUUAAUUUUAAAUAGCUGCAGUAUUCUGACUGUACAAAGGUAGCAUAAUAAUUAGUUCAUUAAUUGUGAACUGGAAUGAAUGAAUGAAUGAAAUUUUUAUUUUAUUUUUUUUAUUAUUAAAAUUUUAUUUUUAAGUAAAAAAGCUUAAUUGUUUUUUAGGGACGAUAAGACCCUAUAGAGAUUUAAUAUUAUGUAUUAAUAUUUAUUUUUUGAUUAUUGUUUAUUUUAAUUAUUAUUUAUUUUGGUUGGGGCGAUUGAUAAAUUUUAACUUUAUCUUUUUAUUUCAUUUAUUUAUGAUUAUUUUGAUCCGUUAUUUCUUUUACGAUUAUAAGAAAAAACUACCUUAGGGAUAACAGCGUUAUUUCAAUGGAAAGUUCAUAUUUAUAUUGAAGUUUGCGACCUCGAUGUUGAAUUAAGAUAAGAUUUUGAGGUAGUUUUUAAUUUUCUAAGUCUGUUCGACUUUUAAAUUCUUACAUGAUCUGA